CCCUUAGGUGUUCUGGGCCGCACACGCGCUACACUGAAGGAGGCAGCGUGUACUCCUGGAUCGAAAGAUUUGGGUAACCCGCGAAUCUCCUUCGUGCUAGGGAUUGAGGUUUGCAAUUAUCCUUCAUGAACGAGGAAUUCCCAGUAAGUGCAAGUCAUAAGCUUGCGCUGACUACGUCCCUGCCCUUUGUACACACCGCCCGUCGCUACUACCGAUUGAAUGAUUUAGUGAGGACUUCGGACUGGGACCGAUGCGGCUUUCGGGCUGCGUCGGUAUUCUGGAAAGAUGUCCAAACUGUAUCAUUUAGAGGAAGUAAAAGUCGUAACA
rnacentral:rRNA from 1 species